UAUGCGAAAAACAAACCUUAGCUAGCAGUAUCCUGAGUAGGGCGGGACACGAGAAAUCCUGUCUGAAGCUGGGUCGACCACGAUCCAACCCUAAAUACUAAUACCAGAUCGAUAGUGCACAAGUACCGUGAGGGAAAGGUGAAAAGAACUGAGGUGAUCAGAGUGAAAUAGAACCUGAAACCAUUUGCUUACAAUCAUUCAGAGCCCUAUGUAGCAAUACAGGGUGAUGGACUGCCUUUUGCAUAAUGAGCCUGCGAGUUGUGGUGUCUGGCAAGGUUAAGCAAACGCGAAGCCGUAGCGAAAGCGAGUCUGAAUAGGGCGCUUAGUCAGAUGCUGCAGACCCGAAACGAAGUGAUCUAUCCAUGAGCAAGUUGAAGCUAGUGUAAGAACUAGUGGAGGACUGAACCCAUAGGCGUUGAAAAGCCCCGGGAUGACUUGUGGAUAGGGGUGAAAGGCCAAUCAAACUUCGUGAUAGCUGGUUCUCUCCGAAAUAUAUUUAGGUAUAGCGUUGUGUCGUAAUAUAAGGGGGUAGAGCACUGAAUGGGCUAGGGCAUACACCAAUGUACCAAACCCUAUCAAACUCCGAAUACCUUAUAUGUAAUCACAGCAGUCAGGCGGCGAGUGAUAAAAUCCGUCGUCAAGAGGGAAACAACCCAGACUACCAGCUAAGGUCCCUAAAUCUUACUUAAGUGGAAAACGAUGUGAAGUUACUUAAACAACCAGGAGGUUGGCUUAGAAGCAGCCAUCCUUUAAAGAAAGCGUAAUAGCUCACUGGUCUAGUGAUUUUGCGCGGAAAAUAUAACGGGGCUAAAGUAAGUACCGAAGCUGUAGACUUGCGCACAACUUAGAUUAUUUAAGUUUAGAAUAUGAGAAACUAAGUUAUAUGUUUAGUUAUAUUUUUACUGAUUUUUAUAGAGUAAAGAUAGAAAUAAAACUUAGUAAAAUCAGUAAAAAUAUUCUUAGACUAAAGUUAAGUAGUUUAAGUUGUGUGCAAGUGGUAGGAGAGCGUUCUAUUUGCGUCGAAGGUAUACCGGUAAGGAGUGCUGGAGCGAAUAGAAGUGAGCAUGCAGGCAUGAGUAGCGAUAAUUAAUGUGAGAAUCAUUAACGCCGUAAACCCAAGGUUUCCUACGCGAUGCUCGUCAUCGUAGGGUUAGUCGGGUCCUAAGUCGAGUCCGAAAGGGGUAGACGAUGGCAAAUUGGUUAAUAUUCCAAUACCAACAUUAGUGUGCGAUGGAAGGACGCUUAGGGCUAAGGGGGCUAGCGGAUGGAAGUGCUAGUCUAAGGUCGUAGGAGGUUAUACAGGCAAAUCCGUAUAACAAUACUCCGAGAACUGAAAGGCUUUUUGAAGUCUUCGGAUGGAUAGAAGAACCCCUGAUGCCGUCGAGCCAAGAAAAGUUUCUAAGUUUAGCUAAUGUUGCCCGUACCGUAAACCGACACAGGUGGGUGGGAUGAGUAUUCUAAGGCGCGUGGAAGAACUCUCUUUAAGGAACUCUGCAAAAUAGCACCGUAUCUUCGGUAUAAGGUGUGGUUCGCUUCGUAUUAGGAUUUACUCCGAAAGCGAAGAAACUUACAACAAAGAGUCCCUCCCGACUGUUUACCAAAAACACAGCACUCUGCUAACUCGUAAGAGGAUGUAUAGGGUGUGACGCCUGCCCGGUGCUCGAAGGUUAAUUGAUGGGGUUAGCAUUAGCGAAGCUCUUGAUCGAAGCCCGAGUAAACGGCGGCCGUAACUAUAACGGUCCUAAGGUAGCGAAAUUCCUUGUCGGUUAAAUACCGACCUGCAUGAAUGGCGUAACGAGAUGGGAGCUGUCUCAAAGAGGGAUCCAGUGAAAUUGUAGUGGAGGUGAAAAUUCC
rnacentral:rRNA from 1 species